ACCCCCUCACUCUGCUCUCUGCUGGAAGUCAGAGGCCUCCCAGGAAGCCCCAGGGCCCCUCUUCACCCUGCUGGUCUAUCCGUGGCACCUCCCACCAAGUGAAAGCGGCUUCCCCAUCCCUCUCCCCUGGCAAUGUCCUCCUUCUCCAGGGCUCUAAGUACUUACAAGAC
rfam:Oryctolagus cuniculus cont2.73332, whole genome shotgun sequence.